GACGAACGCUGGCGGCGUGCCUAAUACAUGCAAGUCGAGCGAAGUUUUUCUGGUGCUUGCACCGGAAAAACUUAGCGGCGCACGGGUGAGUAACACGUAAAGAACCUGCCUCAUAGACUGGGACAACUAUUGGAAACGAUAGCUAAUACCGGAUAAUAGCAUUAACUGCAUGGUUGAUGUUUUAAAGUUGGUUUUGCUAACACUAUGAGAUGGCUUUGCGGUGCAUUAGCUAGUUGGUGGGGUAAAGGCCUACCAAGGCGACGAUGCAUAGCCGACCUGAGGGGGUGAUGGGCCACCCGGGGGCUGAGCCACGGCCCAGACCCCUAGGGGGGGCAGCAGUAGGAAAUCUUCCGAAAGGGGCGAAAGCCGGACGGAGCAACGCCGGGGGGGGGAAAAAGGUUUCUGGUUCGUAAAGCCUUUUUUUUAGGGAAAAAUGAUUGUGUAGUAACUAUACACAGUAGGGGCGGUACCAAACCAAAAAGCCACGGCUAACUACGU
rnacentral:rRNA from 1 species